rnacentral:hammerhead_ribozyme from 1 species
AUCCAAUUGAUGAGUCCCAUAUAGGACGAAACACGCAUCAAAUUGGAU